rnacentral:rRNA from 1 species
GGCGAGCGGGUGAGUAACACAAGGGUAAUCUGCCCUUAAAUUAGGGAUAACCUUGCGAAAGCGAAGCUAAUACCUGAUAAGACUACGACCUCUUAGGGGGUUGUAGGAAAAGAUGGCCUCUGUUUCAAGCUAUCGUUUAAGGAUGAGCCCUUGCACUAUUAGCUUGUUGGCGGGGUAACGGCCCACCAAGGCUACGAUGGUUAGUUGGUCUGAGAGGAUGACCAGCCACACUGGAACUGAGACACGGUCCAGACUCCUACGGGAGGCAGCAGUGAGGAAUAUUGCGCAAUGGGGGAAACCCUGACGCAGUGACGCCGCGUGAGUGAUGAAGGCUUUCGAGUCGUAAAGCUCUGUUAGGUGGAAAGAAACAUUCCAGUGCCAAUACCACUGGAACUUGACGGUACCACCAGAGGAAGCACCGGCUAACUCCGUGCCAGCAGCCGCGGUAAUACGGAGGGUGCAAGCGUUGUUCGGAAUUACUGGGCGUAAAGGGCGUGUAGGCGGUUAGGCAAGUCAGGUGUGAAAUCCCUUGGCUCAACCAAGGAAGUGCGUUUGAAACUGCUUAACUAGAGUACAGGAGGGGAAAGUGGAAUUCCC